rnacentral:rRNA from 1 species
CCUACGGGUGACAGCAGUAGGGAAUCUUUCACAAUGGGCGAAAGCCUGAUGGAGCAACGCCGCGUGGGUGAAGAAGGUCUUCGGAUUGUAAAACCCUGUUGUUAGAGAAGAAAGUGCGUGAGAGUAACCGUUCACGUUUCGACGGUAUCUAACCAGAACGCCACGGCUAACUACGUCCCAGCAGCCGCGGUAAUACGGAGGUGGCAAGCGUUAUCCGGUUUUAUUGGGCGUAAAGGGAGCGCAGGCGGUCUUUUAAGUCUGAUGUGAAAGCCUUCGGCUUAACCGGAGUAGUGCAUUGGAAACUGGGAGACUUGAGUACAGAAGAGGAAAGUGGAACUCCAGGUGUAGCGGUGAAAUGCGUAGAUAUAGGGAAGAACACCAGUGGCGAAGGCGGCUCUCUGGUCUGUAACUGACGCUGAGGUUCGAAAGCGUGGGUAGCAAACAGGAUUAGAUACCCGGGUAGUC